UUACAAUACUAUAUUUACCUGUGUGUAAUAUUUAUAUCAAUUUAAAUCAUCAUCAUCAUCAUCUACAUAAGUUGAAAUAGAAUCGAAUUUUUGUGUAUUUCCACAUGGAUGUUUCGACCGUGUUGAACAACUAUUACUAAUGAGCAAAGAAACAAAAAAAAACUUCCAUCGCAUCCAGAUCUUUGAUCGGCCCUUAACAAAGAUGUAUGUUGUUUUAUUAUCGUAUAGUAGAUUUGAUGAUGAUAAAACCGUAUUAUCAACUAUAAAUGGUCAAAAAAAAUUGUGAGUGAAAAUAAUUUUUUUUCACUUCAUUUGUUGGAACAAAGGACAAUGGAUUUGAAUUAUAGAUAAAUCAAAAUGAAAAUAGUAUCCAUGUAUGGUACAGUCUGAAAAUAUAUCUCUUUAAAGGCCACAAUAGCAGACAUUUCAUAAUCAUGUAAAAAUAUUUUUGGUCCGUUAUUUUUUAAACAAAAUUGAAUUUGUUUGUAGAGAUAUAUAUGUAUGAUGAUGAUAUUUGCCGAUCACUCAUCAGUGCAUACAAAUCAGGUACCAUCUAAUAUUAAAAAAAGAAAAUAAUAAAAAAAAGUUAUAUGAGUUACCUUCUCACCAUUCCAUACACAUGAAUAAUGUAUAACUGCAUGAAUAUGUUUGUUACACAAAAAAAAACAUUCCAUUUGCAGUUCAACAAUUCAAUUUGAUUUGCAAAUUUCAUGUUUCAUGUAUAUUUGUCUUUUUUAAAAAAAAUGUAUAACACUUUUAUUUUAUUGAAUUAAAUAAAAAAAAAAGAAAAAAAAAGUUUAAAAAUCAUAAGUCCAAUGUAAAAGACGUAUUUGACGUGUUAAUUGCCAUAAUAAUUUCAAUUGUACAAUUUGUUGUCGUUUUAAUUGAUUAAUUUGUUCGGCAUUCAUUAUAGGA